rnacentral:rRNA from 1 species
ACGAGCGCAACCCCUAUGGUUAGUUACUAACAUUAAGUUGAGGACUCUAGCCAGACUGCCCAGAUCAACUGGGAGGAAGGUGGGGAUGACGUCAGGUCAGUAUGGCCCUUACGCCUUGGGCUGCACACGUACUACAAUGCCCAGUACAAUGAGAACCGAUACCGCGAGGUGGAGGAAAUCUAUAAAGCUGGGCCCAGUUCGGAUUGGAGGCUGCAACUCGCCUCCAUGAAGUCGGAAUCGCUAGUAAUGGCACAUCAGCUACGGUGCCGUGAAUACGUUCCCGGGUCUUGNACACACCGCCCGU